CCCAUGCCUGCUCUCCCACCUGUUUGGGGUUUCUACAAAGCUCAGCGGGGCCUCCUCCUCAGCUCCCAGAGUGGAUCACGGGCAGCCAGUGCUUCUGACUAAAGAGGACCCAGUGCUUCUCCCCAGAUGUCUGCUCUCUGUCUGCUGCUAGGCUCUCAGGUAGCCCAGCUUGUCACCAGUGCCAAGUUUCCAAGCUCAGAGAGACAUGGCAACUGCCAUUGAAUUGCUGAAGAAGCUGGGAGCCUCUCGUAGCAGUGUCCAUGGUGGGUAGGUGAUGCUGAACCCCACCGCCCUUCUCCAAGCCCUCUAGGUCCUGAGUGAUACUGGGCUCGGAGGCUCACAUCCUGGCUCCAGAUUGCAGUCCCAGCAGAGAGGUAUCACCACUGAGUUUUGUGGACAGAGCCAGCACAGGGUGUCUGUCCACUAAAGAAAUACUAAACAAUUUAAGAGAAACCAAGGCAGGAAGUUUUAAAAAAAAAAAUUAAAGGAAACAGAAGGCAAGAAAGCAGAGAAGUGAUAAGACCUAAUCUGCCAAGGGUCAAGGGUCCUGGUAAGGAAAGUGCAUGGAGAUGGUAAGUAACACUGUCCUAACAGUAACAGCAGUUGCUGCUGCCUGCCUGCUUGUUCCUGUCUGCAGCAGAGGGGAAGGACAACUGUGGCAGGCUCGCAUUUACAGAACUCCCUACCUGCUCCCUCCCUCCCUCCCACUUCUACUCAGGUGAAGGGAAACCACACACAUGUAAUCCCAGCAUUGAGAAGGCUGAGGCAGGAGGAUUGUGAAUUUGAGAGCUGGCUAGGCUACGUAAUGAGAGCUUGCCUCCACACUCACCAAAGUAAAAGGAAGGCAAAAUUUCCAGCUGUAGUUGCAGUUGCCAGAAGUUAGUGGCCCAUGCCUUCAAUCCCAGCACUCUAGAGGCAGAGGCAGGCAGAUCUCAUGAGUUCAAGGCUAGCCGGAUCUACAGAGUGAGUGCCAGAACAGCCAGGGUUACACAAAGAAACUCAGUCUUAAAACAACAACAACAAAUGCAUCCUUCUGUGUAGACACCACUUCAUGUUCACACAAAUUCUCUCUCUGUUUAUAUGUGUCUGUCUGUCUGUCUGUGUGAGUGUACCAUUUGAUCUUCUAGUCUGUGUGGAGACCAGAAGAGGGUGUUCUCUAUCACCCUCCACUUGUUCUUUGCAUCAGGGUCUUUACCAGAACCUGUGACUCCCCCCUCCCUUUUUUUGUAAACUCAAAUGACCUCCUGUCU
rnacentral:lncRNA from 1 species